ensembl:lncRNA
AGAGAAGGAUGAAAGAAGGAAUACCCAUCUUUAGGAAACAGCUUAUUUUGAUUGUCAGUGGAAAUCUUGCUGCUGCUAAGACAUGUAGAGUUAUUAACGUUAGGUAGUUGCGAAUCAGUGCCGAGACCUCAACACUGGUCAGAUGCUGAUUACCAGCCUCUGAGGACUGGAGCUCUUUCCUGGCCAUCUUCCCCGACAGACUGUGAAGUCCAGGAUCCCCCUUUUUCUCAAAUACAGUUGCAUCCCCAGGUAAGGCUGGAAGAUAUUCCUCUUUCUCAUGCGUAGCCACAUUCCCAAUUAAGGUUGGAACUACCUUAGUAGAACUACCAUGGUAGCUAGCCUUCAAUAAUUACUUGUUGAACGAAGUAAUAAGUUUUAAAAGUUAUUUCUGUUAAUACUUCUCACUUCAUUUUAAAGUUCAAGCCUUGACAUUCCAAUUUCCCUGACGAUAUCCCUUUUACCUCACUGGUCCUCAGCUUCUUAAUACCUACCUACCCCCAGAGGCUGUUGCUGGCAUGAAUGAGAUGAUGGGUGUGAUUUCAUUUUGCGAACUCUAGGGACUCUGCAGUGUAAGGUGAGGAGCAGCUUGGGACCAGGAGGGCCAAGAGGCUGAACUUUCCUGAAACUGCUCUGGAUGUGGUUUAAAAGGCCCCUCCUUACAGAGUCUGGUACUAAGGGGUCUUGCCAGCCCCCUUGGUCCCUGCCAGCUGGGCCACCUCAUCUGUCUUCAGGAUCCACAGCUUGCUCGCUCUUUGCACCCUUAAACGGGCGCUUCAAAUAGUUCUCUGCUCCCUUUGCCCAGGAGGCAGACUCCAGGUCCCCCUUCCUCCUAUGCAGGCUGUGCCCCUCAAUCAUCCUAGCCCACCCCCACAGUCAGCCCUGGCCCUGGAAGCUCAAACUGAGGACCAGCAAAAGUUGCUCUAAUUGCCCUGGGGAGUGCCUUCAAAUUAAAUAAUCCAAUGGGUGACAUAGUUUUAAAAAUUACUUAUUUGCUCCUGUCAUUUCUUUUUUAGAUUUGGAAAUGAAGAAAUUGAGAGGAUUUUCUCAGGCCUGGAGAACAACCAAAGGCUUCAAGUCCUCAGCUUACGUUACUGUGGUCUGGGGCCACAGAUUGGGCCAAGGCUGGGCUCUAUCAUAUGCCAGAGUGCCAUUUGUGAGCUGCACCUUGAUGGCAAUUACUUGCAGUGUUCUGGAGCUCUGGAUCUCCUCAGACCCGUAGCAGAGUAUGCAGAGAUGCAGGGGAAAGACCAGCCAGCCACUUGCUCACCAGACCCUAGGCAUCCCCCUCAGCUGCUCCAAGCUAAGCAGAGAGGAAGUUCAACUUUGAACCAGAUUACAAAGUCAUCUGGAGCUCUAACAGUGAAAACUACUUCAGGAAAGAAGAGAAAAAAAGUUGGAGGGAGAUUUGGAUUGCCUUUCCCAUGGGGAUGCAAGCUAGACAAGGCCAAUCACAAGCUUGGAAGCUCCCUUCCUCUCCAAUGGCACACAUCUAUGUCAUGCUGGCUCAGUUGGGGGUGUAGACUGGCCAAGACCAUUUUUGUUUCUUUCCUUGCAAAGCUGAAUGGCUGUACAGGAAUUUGGCCUAUGGCCUUUGGCCUUGGCCCCCCUGGCCUCAUGCUUCAUCGCCACUGCUUUCUGGCAUGCCAGAGGGGGCAAAAAGAAAUGAAUGCCACAUGAAGUCAGUAUAUACAUCAUUAAUCAUUCUGGGCAGUCAACAACUUUUCAAAGGCAUUUAUAUUUGUGAGGAGAUUUUAUAAAUAGAAAAAUCGUAUUUUAUUUGUGUUCACUAGCUGUCUCAAGGCAUUAUUAACUACACUAUGCUUGGAAAAAUAGUGACAAGUGAGAUAAAAGUUUCUACAAUCUGAUUGCACUCAAUACUCUACUAUUCAUUAAUUUACUCAUUUAUUCAGCAAUUAUUAAAUACCUACAGUGUGCGAUAGACAUUGCCAGUAUAACAGCACUGUUAUACUGUUCAUAAUGGCUAUCAUUUGCUACCAUGCCCAUACCCUGAAUGUAAGGACAAGUGACAUUCGGACCAGUUAGACUUAUGCCAAGUAAAACCAAAGUAUGGGCUAGUUUUCAUCCCUUCAACAGUGUAUGAAAGGAAACUAAGUCCUGCCUAUACCCUUCAACAACCCAGCAGAUUAUGGAUUCAUACCUAAAUAAACUGAUCUAAUAUUUUU